rnacentral:lncRNA from 1 species
AUAUUCCAGAACUUGAGAGUGAAGCUAAGACACCCCCUUAUACCGCAGAACUGAGAACAGCCGCAUGCCAAGAAUAAGAGGAGUAGUUUCACUUUGGCCACAUUGCUCCUCCCCCAAGCUGGCAACGUGCCACACAUAGAGGAUUCUCUGGGACCCAUGGUUGUUACACAGGGAGGAGAGAGUUGGAGGUGAACAUUCAGCUUUGCCACCAUUCUGGGACCCUUCAGAGGAAGUGUUCUCUUGUCUCAUCACACAGGAAGCACUGGGAGUAUCAGCAGAGCUAGACAUCUGAGAUCACUUGGAGAUAAAGAACAGAUGUGGGGCUCACAUCAACUAGUGCAGGAAUCUUGGCAGCUGUCCUGCAUUCAGGCCAGUGGAGGUGCACCACCAGAGAAGCUAGCCAACAGCGCUGCUCUGGACUAAGCACAGUCAACUGGUCUCUCAAAUUCAGGUACCUGGCCAGCUUCCACAGCCAGUCCUGUUACCCUCCUUGAAAUUUACCCAGGCUGGGAGAUAGGGGCAGGGCAGUGAUUAUCUGUAAAGGGAGUAUCUGGCCCCACCCAGCUCCAUCAGCCAAAGAGCUAAAACACCAAGCCUCAGUGCUCUGCUUAAGGUUAUCCUGGGAUGAGAAGCAAGCUCAAGUUCACGCAUAUCUGUGAAGCAUCGCCUCUGGCCCCGUCCACCCAGAGUAGUUAAGUAGUGAUCCGAGAAGCCUUGCUCAGCCUCAGAGCCCAGCAUGCAGUCCUGCCAAACUACAGAUUCAAAACUGCAGUACUGGCCAACCAGAGAAGACAGCCUACAACACGGCCUGUCAAGGAGCAAUCAAACAGCUCAGCCUUACUGCAGAGUCCAGCCACUGGUCUCAUCAGACUGCGGAGCACAGCCAGCAUUUCAGGAAUAUUGGUGUUUCAAGUAGAGAGAAAUUGUGAGUCUGCUUCUUGUGCAAGCCCAAACCUGGGGAAUGCUCCUUCUGUGGGGAUGCAGUUGCCCUGAAGUGUUCCAGGAAGGCUGUCUGUAGGUGAAUCCACACAGAGUUCCCGUGAGAGAAGCCCCAGCUGUGUCUGCAGUGGUGGACAAGUGGGGAAAGAGGACCCUUUCUCUAAGACCUUUCAUGAGCACCAAGCCUGUCUGACUGUUGGAUAGAGACACAGAUGUCCCCUGCUGAGUCCAGUACUGCAAUUGUGUCUCUGCUGAAAGAAACUUUCCCACAGGAAUGAUCUGGGACUCAAGGCCUGUCACCCAGAUUAUUUUGUCCCACACGGUGUUCCCGUGAUGUGGUACUCUCCCCCUUUUCCUAAGAGGAAGACCUCCUGAGAGUCAGACUAUAGUGAUUGCUAUUACAGCCAGAAGUUUUGCUUGACGCCAGAACACAGUUAACAGCCCAGCCCAACUAGAGAACAUGCAAGGUCUACCUGUCACCACCUACUGGCCCAACUAGAAUCCUAGGCUAUACUAAAUAGUGAAGAUCUGCACAGCCAAAGAAUACCAGCAAAGACUGGAAAGUGUUUCUUCAAAUGUGUAGGUACCAAUGCAAAGACACAAGGAUUACAAAAAUGAGGGAAGUCUGGGCGCAGUGGCUCAUGCCUGUAAUCCCAGCACUUUGGGAG